GAAUUUAAUAUAAUUUUAUUAAAUUAAUUUAUUAAAUAAAUAAUAAUAAUAAAAUAAAUAUUUAGUUGGGAGGAUUGUUAAAUGUAAAUAACUUUAAUUAAAUUAAAAUAUAAAUUAAUAAAAUAAAGGAAUGAUUAAUAAAUUAAAAAUGAAUUAAUUACCUUAGGGAUAACAGCGUAAUAUUUUUAGAAAGUUCAUAUUAAUAUAAAUGAUUGC
rnacentral:rRNA from 1 species